rnacentral:sRNA from 1 species
GCGCCGGAUUUGAACCAGCGAAGCUGUUCGACAUGAGCGAAGCGAAAUGAACGUGCGACAGCACGGCCCGCAGGGCCAGCUUCGAAGAGGUGAGUAAUCCAGCACGACCCACCA